UGCGGGGUGGAGCAGUCCGGUAGCUCGUUGGGCUCAUAACCCAAAGGUCACAGGUUCAAAUCCUGUCCCCGCUACCA
rnacentral:tRNA from 1 species